rnacentral:rRNA from 1 species
UACAGAGGGGGCAAGCGUUAUUCGGAAUUACUGGGCGUAAAGUGUGCGCAGGCCGCCGAGCAAGUCGAGUGUGAAAGCCCCGAGCUUAACUUGGGAACUGCGCUCGAAACUACUUGGCUAGAGUGUGGCAGAGGGAGGUGGAAUUCCACGUGUAGCGGUGAAAUGCGUAGAGAUGUGGAGGAAGGCCGGUGGCGAAGGCGGCUCUCUGGAACGUUCCUGACACUGAGGCACGAAAGCGUGGGAGCAAACAGG